rnacentral:rRNA from 1 species
GAUGAACGCUGGCGGCGUGCCUAAUACAUGCAAGUCGAGCGAACAGACGAGGAGCUUGCUCCUCUGACGUUAGCGGCGGACGGGUGAGUAACACGUGGAUAACCUACCUAUAAGACUGGGAUAACUUCGGGAAACCGGCGCUAAUACCGGAUAAUAUAUUGAACCGCAUGGUUCAAUAGUGAAAGACGGUUUUGCUGUCACUUAUAGAUGGAUCCGCGCCGCAUUAGCUAGUUGGUAAGGUAACGGCUUACCAAGGCAACGAUGCGUAGCCGACCUGAGAGGGUGAUCGGCCACACUGGAACUGAGACACGGUCCAGACUCCUACGGGAGGCAGCAGUAGGGAAUCUUCCGCAAUGGGCGAAAGCCUGACGGAGCAACGCCGCGUGAGUGAUGAAGGUCUUCGGAUCGUAAAACUCUGUUAUUAGGGAAGAACAAAUGUGUAAGUAACUAUGCACGGCUUGACGGUACCUAAUCAGAAAGCCACGGCUAACUACGUG